rnacentral:rRNA from 1 species
GAUGAACGCUGGCGGCGUGCUUAACACAUGCAAGUCGAACGGAAAGGCCACAGCUUGCUGUGGUACUCGAGUGGCGAACGGGUGAGUAACACGUGGGUGAUCUGCCCUGUACUUCGGGAUAAGCUUGGGAAGCUGGGUCUAAUACCGGAUAGGAAUCACAUGUGGGUGUGUGGUUGGAAAGCUUUUGCGGUAUGGGAUGAGCUCGCGGCCUAUCAGCUUGUUGGUGGGGUAAUGGCCUACCAAGGCGUCGACGGGUAGCCGGCCUGAGAGGGUGUACGGCCACAUUGGGACUGAGAUACGGCCCAGACUCCUACGGGAGGCAGCAGUGGGGAAUAUUGCACAAUGGGCGCAAGCCUGAUGCAGCGACGCCGCGUGGGGGAUGACGGCCUUCGGGUUGUAAACUCCUUUCGUCAGGGACGAAGCGAAAGUGACGGUACCUGGAUAAGAAGCACCGGCUAACUACGUG